GCGUUAUCCGGAUUUAUUGGGUUUAAAGGGUGCGUAGGCGGAAUAUUAAGUCAGUGGUGAAAUCCUGCGGCUCAACCGUAGAACUGCCAUUGAUACUGAUAUUCUUGAAUGUAGUUGAGGUAGGCGGAAUGUGUAAUGUAGCGGUGAAAUGCUUAGAUAUUACACAGAACACCGAUUGCGAAGGCAGCUUACUAAACUAUGAUUGACGCUGAUGCACGAAAGCGUGGGGAGCGAACAGGAUUAGAUACCCUGGUAGUCCACGCUGUAAACGAUGAUCACUCGUUGGUUGCGAUAUAUUGUAAGCGACUGAGCGAAAGCAUUAAGUGAUCCACCUGGGGAGUACGUCGGCAACGAUGAAACUCAAAGGAAUUGACGGGGGCCCGCACAAGCGGAGGAACAUGUGGUUUAAUUCGAUGAUACGCGAGGAACCUUACCUGGGGUUAAAAUGUAAGGUGGAACGGAUCCGGAAACGAUUUUUCCCUUCGGGACUACUUA
rnacentral:rRNA from 1 species